rnacentral:rRNA from 1 species
UGGGGAAUCUUGCGCAAAUGCGGGAAACCGUGACGCAGCGACGCCGCGUGGGGGAAGAAGGCCUUCGGGUUGUAAACCUCUUUCAGGAGGGACGAAGCUACUCGGGUUAACAGCCCAGAGGGUGACGGUACCUUCAGAAGAAGCCCCGGCUAACUACGUGCCAGCAGCCGCGGUAAUACGUAGGGGGCAAGCGUUGUCCGGAUUUAUUGGGCGUAAAGAGCGUGUAGGCGGCUUGACAAGUCUGCUGUGAAAACUCGAGGCUCAACCUCGAGCUGUCGGCGGAAACUGUCAGGCUAGAGUCCGGAAGAGGAGAGUGGAAUUCCUGGUGUAGCGGUGAAAUGCGCAGAUAUCAGGAAGAACACCUAUGGCGAAGGCAGCUCUCUGGGACGGUACUGACGCUGAGACGCGAAAGCGUGGGGAGCGAACA